AAUCUGGCUGUUCACCCGUAGAGCUUCAUCAUCAGCAGCCUCAGAUCCACCCCAGGUAGCCAGUUCCCACCAGAAGUCUAAUCCCAAAGCGCAGCACAAACCCUAGCUCCGCUCCCCCUCGCCCUCGUCCUCGUGUUCUCUCAGAAUCAUGUCGCACUUCGGUAGAUCCGGUCCUCCGGAUAUCAGAGACACAUACUCUCUUCUCGUUCUCAACAUAACUUUCCGAACCACUGCGGAUGAUCUUUACCCCUUAUUCGACAAGUACGGGAAGGUCGUUGAUGUCUUCAUCCCCAGGGACCGAAGGACUGGUGAUUCUCGGGGUUUUGCCUUUGUUCGGUACAAGUAUGCCGAUGAGGCGCAGAAGGCAGUUGAAAAGCUUGAUGGAAGGACUGUUGAUGGCAGAGAGAUCAUGGUUCAGUUCGCAAAGUACGGUCCAAAUGCUGAGCGAAUUGUGCUACCAAACAAGAAAAAAGAUCACCAUAAAGGGAGGAUUGUAGAAUCAUCUGCCAAACCAAGGGGAAGGUCAAGAAGCCGCAGCCCCCGACCAAGGUAUCGGGACGAGUACAGGGACAAGGAUUAUAGGAGGAGAAGCCGCAGUAGAAGUAGGGGGAGAUAUGACCGUGAUAGAUACCAUGGGAAGGAAAGAGACUCUCAUCAUCGAAGCCGAAGCCGUAGUUUGAGUCCUGAUCAUCACAAAGACCGUGGAAGAGGCAGAUAUCAUGAUGAACGGCGUAGUCAGAGCCGGUCCUACGGAAGUGCUUCCCCUGCUCAGCGGAGCCCCAGUCCUAGAAGGAGACCAUCACCCCAGAGGACCCCUCCUAGUGGUGAUAGUGCUGAUGGUCUCAAGCCUAAUGGACACUCGCCAACUCCUAGUGUCUCACCCCGCCGUCGACAAGCUGAUUCUCGAAGCCCUUCUCCACUAAAUUCUGAUGAAUAAUGAAGCAGCAGACCCUGGAUAUCUCUGGACUGGUGUAUCAAAUGGGGCUGCUUUUGUAGCAGGAAGGACAUUUUUGGAUUUAGCAUGUUUAUCAUCAAAAUAUUGAAUGCUAGAAUUGAUUCCUCUGGAUGUUUUUAAGUUGUGUUCGGGAAGAGUUGUGGCUGGUCGAUACGAUGAUGUAGCUGUUGGUGCUGUUUUUACUUCACAGAUGGUUGAUGUCAUUUUCAUGCUGGUUGCAAACUGCAAAUUCUUAACAAUUUUUCUCUGAUGAUGUCAGGAUUGGAUUCUUAGUAGCUGGAUGGCCUAAAGAUGGUUGAAUCCCAAAUACCUAUACCCGUAGCUGAUGCAGCUAACUGCAGGACCAGAUAUUCAGUUAGGUUGAUAAUAUGACGAAACCUGCCAUGCUGGAUUGAGCAUUGCGUACGUGACUUCUAUGCUUCUACACCUACAAUGAUUCUACAUUUUGGGCCCACCAAGGAUUCUUAGUAGCUGGAUGGCCUAAAUAUGGUUGAAUCCCAAAUACCUAUACUUGUAGCUGAUGCAGCUAACUGCAGGACCAGAUAUUCAGUUAGGCUGAUAAUAUGAUGAAACCUGCCAUGCUGGAUUGAGCAUUGCCUACGUGACUUCUACCAGUGGCUGGUGCAGUGUACUGCAAGAUCUGAGAUUCAGUUAUGCUGGUACUGAGGUGAAACCUGCUAUGCUGGAUAAUAUAUUGUUAUCAUGAGUUUUGUACAUGGUAACAGAUACUUAGCCUUUUUUUUUUUUUUUUUUUGUGUUUAAUAUAUUUUUGGCCUUUACGUAGGGGCUAACCUCAUUUAAUGUGAGGCUUUUAGGGUGUUAAGACUUAUGUUGCAUCAUGUGCUGAAAUAUUUUAGUACAUGCGCUUGUGACUGAAGUUGUAAGUUGAUGUCUAUUGCAUUAUGUUACAGCAUGAGUUCAUUGCUGUAGCAGUGAGGCAAUAGCCCAUAUUGUCUUGGAUUGGUUGAUGCUGCACUCUGUUGAUAAGUGAUGCCUGAAUUGGUCACUGCAGUUCAGCUGACUCUAGUAUAUAUGCUAUUGCCUGUUGUUUU